CAGCACUUUCUGCUUUACCUUGCACUUUUUUUUUAUUUUUUAUUUUUUUUUUUUUUGAGACAAAGUCUCGCUCUUGUCCCCCAGGCUGGUGUGCAAUGGUGGAUCUCAGCUCACUGCAACCUCCGCCUCCCAGGUUCAAGCGAUUCUCCUGUCUUGGUCCCCCGAGUAGCUAGGAUUACAGGCGCCUGCUACCACACGUGGCUAAUUUUUGUAUUUUUAGUAGAGAAGGGGUUUCACCAUGUUUGCUAGGCUGGUCUAGAAUUCCUGACCUCAGGUAAUCCACCCUCCUAGGCCUUCCAGAGUGCUAGGAUUACAGGCGUGAGCCACCGUGCCCGGCCUACCUUGCACUUUUAUAUUAUGAAGAUGGCAUCUUUCCUUAAACCUCAUGAACCAAUGUUGGCUAACUUUAAAUUUUUCUUCUGCAGCUUCCUUACCUGUCUCUGUCUUCAUAGAACUGAAAAGAGCUAGGGCCUUGCUCUGGAUUAGGAUUUGGCUUAAGGGAAUUUCAUGGCUCAUUUGAUCCUCCAUCCAGACCACUCAAAUUUUCAACAUAUCAACAAUAAGCAUGUUUCAUUUUCUUAUCAUUCAUGUGUUCACUGAAAUAGCACUUUUACUUUCCUUCAAGAACUUUUCCUUUGCAUUCCCAAUUUGGCUAACUGACACAAGAAGCCUAGCUUUCAGCUUAUCUUGGCUUUUCAACAUGCCUUCCUUACUAAGCUUAAUCAUCUAGCAUUUGAUUUAAAGGGAGAGAUGUAAGGCUCUUCCUUUCACUUGAACACUUAGAGGUCCUUAUAGGGUUCUUAAUUGAACUACUUUUAAUAUUGUUGUGUCUUAGGAAAUAGGGAAGCCCAAGGAGAGGGAGACAGACAGAGACAGGAGAAUGACUAGUUAGUGAGGUGGUCAGAACACAUACAACAUAUAUAUAUUAAGUUUGCCAUCUUAUAUGGGCAUGGUUCAUGGUGUCCCCCAGAUAUUACAAUAGUAACAUCAAAUAUCAUUGAUCGUAGAUCACAACAGAUAAAAUAAUAAUUUAAAAGUUUGAAACAUUAUGAGAAUUACCAAAAUGUGACACAGACGAGCAGUGAGCACAUGCUGUUGGAAAAAUGACCAGUAGACCUUCUUCAUGGAGGGUUGCCACAAACUUCAGUUUGUUUAAAAAACAAAAACAAAAUGCAAAUCUGCAAUGCACAAUACAGCAAAGUGCAAUGAAACAAGGUAUGCCUGUAAUCAAAAAAACAAAGCAAACUAAAAUAAUAAGGACUAUAACUUCAUUCAACUCUUCCAGAUAU
rnacentral:lncRNA from 10 species